GCAAAUUGUGGGUUUAAAAGCUACUGUAGAAAGUUUUCUGUAGCUUGAGUCAGACAGUCAUGUUAUUCUGUUUUGUGGUGAAUCAUCUUAAAGAGCUAGAAGCCAUGUCCAGCUGUUGUAUUUAAAAGCAUUUAUACAGCAGAGAAACAAUUGUAGUCAUGUGUUUGUUUUUUAUUUUAGGGUGUGUAGCAGUGGAGAAGGAAGCAGCAGCUGAAGCGUGUUAGGGUUUCCUGCAGGACAGAGGAGGGAUGGUGGCAUUGUCAUCACAGCAGGCAUUGUUGUUUGACAGGUAAAGCUGUGAAUUUGUUGAAACAGGCAAGAGUAGGGCUUUAUUCACUGGCAGGCUGACACAGACACAGACACAGCGAAGAACAAACUAGCUUCUUCUUCUUCUCCAGACUUUGAUCAUUUGCUUAUCUUUCUGUUUUCUUUUUUUGUUUUACAUGCUGAGAGAGCCAACGUCUGCGGUGGACGAUUAAAGACCAAGUUGUCGACAUCCAUAGAGUUUCAAACCAAGAGUUGUAGUAUGACCAGCAGGAGACAAUUGAAGGCUCCAGUGAUUUUGGUGACACCCUAACCCAGAGAGCAGAGAUGCUGAGAGAUCAAGUGGUGGACGUCCAGAGAGCAGAGAUGCUGAGAGAUCAAGUGGUGGACGUCCACAGAGGAGAGGAGGUUCACAGAGAUGAGUUGCAACAAGAAAACGUUAUGCAUGGUGUCAGAGAUUUGCCGUAGAAGCAGAGCUUCUUCUUCUUCUUCUUCUUCUUCUUCUUCUUCUUCUUCUUCUUCUUCUUCUUCUUCUUCUUCUUCUUCUUCUUCUUCUUCUUCUUCUUCUUCUUCUUCUUCUUCUUCUUCUUCUUCUUCUUCUUCUUCUUAAUGGAAUUUCACCUAAAUAAAAAAAAAAAAAAAAAAAAAAAAAAGAGUCCAAACUGCAUUGUCGUCAAUUUUUCUGAAAAACAAAGAGUAAAGUGUGAAGAGAGAGAAAAGUAGGAAAGAGGAAAAGAGUAAAGUGUGAGAAAAAAGCAAAGAGAGAAGAGAGGAAAAAGAAGAAAGUUUAAGGAAAGAACAAAGAGAAAAAGAACAAAGUGUGGAAAAAGAACAAAGUGUGAAAAUAGCAAAGUAAGAGGAAAGAGGAAAAUAGGAAAGUGUGAAAAUAGCAAAGUGUGAAAAAAGAGGAAAGAGAGUAAAGAGGAAAAAGAACAAAGUGUGAAAAUAGCAAAGUGUGAGAAAAUAGCAAAGUGUGAAAAAAGAGGAAAGAGAGUAAAGAGGAAAAAGAACAAAGUGUGAAAAUAGCAAAGUGUGAGAAAAGAGCAAAGUGUGAGAAAAGAGCAAAGUGUGAGAAAAUAGCAAAGUGUGAGAAAAUAGCAAAGUAAGAGGAAAAUAGCAAAGUGUGAGAAAAGAGGAAAAAGAACAAAGUGAAAAUAGGAAAGUGUGAAAAAAGAGGAAAAAGAACAAAGUGUGAGGAAAGGGGAUAGAGAAAAAAAGACUAAGUGUGAGAGAAAAGAGGAUAGAGGAAAAAAAGACUAAGUGUGAGAGGAAAAAAGACUAAGUGUGAGAGAAAAGGGGACAGAGGAAAAAAAGACUAAGUGUGAGAGAAAAGGGGACAGAGGAAAAAAGACUAAGUGUGAGAGGAAAAAAGACUAAGUGUGAGAAAAAAGGGGACAGAGGAAAAAAGACUAAGUGUGAGAGGAAAGGGGACAGAGGAAAAAAGACUAAGUGUGAGAGGAAAGGGGACAGAGGAAAAAAAACUAAGUGUGAGAGAAAAGGGGACAGAGGAAAAAAGACUAAGUGUGAGAGGAAAAAAGACUAAGUGUGAGAGAAAAGGGGACAGAGGAAAAAAGACUAAGUGUGAGAGGAAAAAAAGACUAAGUGUGAGAGAAAAGGGGACAGAGGAAAAAAGACUAAGUGUGAGAGGAAAAAAGACUAAGUGUGAGAGAAAAGGGGACAGAGGAAAAAAGACUAAGUGUGAGAGGAAAGGGGACAGAGGAAAAAAGACUAAGUGUGAGAGGAAAGGGGACAGAGGAAAAAAGACUAAGUGUGAGAGGAAAAAAGACUAAGUGUGAGAAAAGGGGACAGAGGAAAAAAGACUAAGUGUGAGAGGAAAAAAGACUAAAAAAGAGGAAAAAGAACAAAGUGUGAAAAAAGAGGAAAAAGAACAAAGUGUGAAAAUAGCAAAGUGUGAGAAAAGAGGAAAAAGAACAAAGUGAGAAAAGAGGAAAAAUAGCAAAGUGUGAGAAAAGAGGAAAGUAGAAAAAUAGCAAAGUGUGAGAAAAGAACAAACUCACCUCUAUGGAUGUCAACGUCAUCUUUAAUCGUCCACUGCAGAUCUCGUCUCUCGGCAUGUAAAAGAAACAGAG
ensembl:lncRNA